rnacentral:rRNA from 1 species
AACAGGAUUAGAUACCCUGGUAGUCCACGCCGUAAACGAUGUCGACUUGGAGGUUGUGCCCUUGAGGCGUGGCUUCCGGAGCUAACGCGUUAAGUCGACCGCCUGGGGAGUACGGCCGCAAGGUUAAAACUCAAAUGAAUUGACGGGGGCCCGCACAAGCGGUGGAGCAUGUGGUUUAAUUCGAUGCAACGCGAAGAACCUUACCUGGUCUUGACAUCCACAGAACUUUCCAGAGAUGGAUUGGUGCCUUCGGGAACUGUGAGACAGGUGCUGCAUGGCUGUCGUCAGCUCGUGUUGUGAAAUGUUGGGUUAAGUCCCGCAACGAGCGCAACCCUUAUCCUUUGUUGCCAGCGGUCCGGCCGGGAACUCAAAGGAGACUGCCAGUGAUAAACUGGAGGAAGGUGGGGAUGACGUCAAGUCAUCAUGGCCCUUACGACCAGGGCUACACACGUGCUACAAUGGCGCAUACAAAGAGAAGCGACCUCGCGAGAGCAAGCGGACCUCAUAAAGUGCGUCGUAGUCCGGAAUGGAGUCUGCAACUCGACUCCAUGAAGUCGGAAUCGCUAGUAAUCGUGGAUCAGAAUGCCACGGUGAAUACGUUCCCGGGCCUUGUACACACCGCCCGUCACACCAUGGGAGUGGGUUGCAAAAGAAGUAGGUAGCUCAACCUUCGGGAGGGCGCUUACCACUUUGUGAUUCAUGACUGGGGUGAAGUCGUAACAAGGUAACC